rnacentral:rRNA from 1 species
CGUAACGCGUAUGCAACCUACCCACAACUGGAGGAUAGCCCGGAGAAAUCCGGAUUAAUACUCCAUAAUGCAGGGGUACCACCUGGUACUAUUUGCUAAAGAUUUAUUGGUUGUGGAUGGGCAUGCGUCUGAUUAGUUAGUUGGUGAGGUAACGGCUCACCAAGACGACGAUCAGUAGGGGGUCUGAGAGGAUGAUCCCCCACACUGGCACUGAGAUACGGGCCAG